rnacentral:rRNA from 1 species
GUCCUAGCCGUAAACGGUGCUUGCUUGCUGUAAGAGGAAUCGACCCCUUUUGUGGCGAAGCUAACGCGAUAAGCAAGCCGCCUGGGAAGUACGGUCGCAAGAUUAAAACUCAAAGAAAUUGACGGGGGCCUGCACAAGCGGUGGAGUAUGUGGCUUAAUUCGAUGCAACGCGAAGAACCUUACCUGGCCUUGACAUGCACAUAGUAGAAGCCUGAAAGGGUGACGAGGUAGCAAUACCAGUGUGCACAGGUGCUGCAUGGCUGUCGU